UCACCCACUGUGAAGGGGGCGGGGAGUGUGAGGUGACGGGCUGGAGGGGCCGGCGGGUACCGGGAGGCGGUGAGGAGACACGGACAGAGGAGCCCACGCACCGCCGGUGAUUCCCAGUGACUCCUCUGAGGCAAAAUGUCGCAGAGAUCGGGGCAGGAAGACCCCGAGCGUUACCUCUUCGUGGAUCGCGAUGUGGUGUACAACCCCACCACGCAGGCCGACUGGACGGCCAAGAAGCUGGUGUGGGUGCCGUCGGAGCGGCACGGCUUCGAGGCGGCCAGCAUAAAGGAAGAGCGGGGGGAAGAAGUGGUGGUGGAGCUGGCCGAGAACGGCAAGAAGGCCAUGGUAAACAAGGACGAUAUCCAGAAGAUGAACCCACCCAAGUUCUCCAAGGUGGAGGACAUGGCGGAACUGACGUGCCUGAACGAGGCGUCCGUGCUGCACAACCUGAAGGACCGAUACUACUCCGGCCUCAUCUAUACAUACUCCGGGCUCUUCUGCGUGGUGAUAAACCCCUACAAGAACCUUCCUAUCUAUUCUGAGAACAUCAUCGAGAUGUACCGCGGAAAGAAGCGCCACGAGAUGCCGCCGCACAUAUACGCCAUAUCCGAGUCUGCCUACCGCUGCAUGCUGCAAGAUCGCGAGGACCAAUCAAUUCUUUGCACAGGCGAAUCUGGAGCCGGGAAGACGGAAAACACCAAGAAAGUCAUUCAGUAUUUGGCUCACGUUGCCUCGUCCCAUAAGGGGAAAAAGGACCACACCAUUCCCACCGAAUCUCCCAAGGCCAUGAAGCACCAGAGUGGAUCGUUGUUGUAUGGUGAACUAGAGCGUCAGCUCCUCCAAGCCAACCCCAUCCUGGAGUCCUUUGGAAAUGCCAAGACCGUCAAAAAUGACAACUCCUCUCGCUUCGGCAAAUUCAUCCGAAUUAAUUUCGACGUGACUGGUUAUAUCGUUGGGGCCAAUAUAGAGACCUAUCUGCUGGAGAAGUCUCGCGCUAUUCGCCAAGCGAAGGAUGAAAGGACCUUCCAUAUCUUUUAUCAGCUGCUCGCUGGCUCAGGGGAACACCUCAAAUCUGAUUUGCUGCUAGACGGAUUUAACAACUACCGCUUUGUGUCCAACGGCUACAUCCCCAUCCCGGGGCAACAGGACAAGGACAACUUCCAGGAGACGAUGGAAGCCAUGCACAUCAUGGGCUUCUCACAUGAAGAGAUACUGUCCAUGCUCAAAGUGGUAUCUGCCGUGCUACAAUUUGGGAACAUUACUUUCAAGAAAGAGCGGAACACAGACCAGGCGUCUAUGCCCGAAAACACAGCCGCACAGAAACUCUGCCACCUAUUGGGUCUGAACAUCAUGGAGUUCACCCGCGCCAUCCUUACACCGCGCAUCAAGGUGGGCAGGGACUACGUGCAGAAGGCGCAGACUAAAGAACAGGCUGACUUUGCGGUGGAAGCCCUGGCUAAGGCCACCUACGAGAGACUGUUCCGCUGGCUGGUCCACCGGAUCAAUAAAGCGCUGGAUCGCACCAAGCGACAAGGAGCUUCGUUUAUUGGGAUUCUGGACAUCGCCGGAUUUGAGAUCUUUGAGUUGAACUCCUUCGAGCAGCUCUGCAUCAACUACACCAACGAGAAGCUUCAGCAGCUCUUCAAUCACACCAUGUUCAUCCUGGAGCAGGAGGAGUACCAGCGGGAGGGCAUCGAGUGGAACUUCAUUGAUUUUGGCCUUGACCUGCAGCCUUGCAUUGACCUGAUCGAGAGGCCGGCCAACCCCCCCGGGGUCCUUGCCUUGCUGGACGAGGAGUGCUGGUUCCCCAAAGCCACAGACAAAAGCUUUGUGGACAAACUGGUUCAGGAGCAGGGAACCCACUCCAAGUUCCAGAAGCCGCGCCAACUCAAGGACAAGGCGGAUUUCUGCAUCAUCCACUACGCGGGAAGGGUGGAUUAUAAGGCAGACGAAUGGCUGAUGAAGAACAUGGACCCUCUGAAUGACAACGUUGCCACGCUGCUUCACCAGUCCUCCGACAAGUUUGUGGGCGAGCUGUGGAAAGAUGUGGAUCGGAUCGUGGGGUUGGACCAGGUCGCAGGAAUGGCAGAGACGGCUUUCGGGGCGGCCUACAAGACCAAGAAGGGCAUGUUCCGCACAGUGGGGCAACUGUACAAGGAGUCUCUGACGAAGCUGAUGGCGACGCUGCGCAACACCAACCCCAACUUUGUGCGCUGCAUCAUCCCCAAUCAUGAGAAGCGGGCGGGGAAACUCGACCCACAUUUGGUGCUGGACCAGCUGAGGUGUAACGGUGUCCUGGAAGGGAUCCGAAUCUGCCGGCAGGGAUUCCCUAACCGGAUCGUGUUCCAGGAGUUCCGCCAAAGAUAUGAGAUCCUCACACCCAACGCCAUCCCGAAAGGGUUCAUGGAUGGGAAGCAAGCAUGCGAGCGAAUGAUCCGGGCUCUGGAAUUGGAUCCAAACCUUUACAGGAUUGGGCAGAGUAAGAUCUUCUUCCGUGCCGGGGUCCUGGCUCAUCUGGAGGAGGAACGGGACCUGAAGAUCACAGAUAUCAUCAUACUCUUCCAGGCCGUCUGCAGGGGAUACCUAGCUCGCAAGGCCUUCGCCAAAAAACAACAGCAGCUGAUCGCCCUCAAAGUGCUGCAAAGAAACUGCGCCGCCUACCUCAAGCUGCGGCAUUGGCAGUGGUGGCGCCUCUUUACCAAGGUAAAACCGCUGCUCCAGGUGACUCGGCAGGAGGAAGAACUGCUGGCCAAGGAUGAAGAACUGCUGAAGGUCAAGGAGAAACAGUCCAAAGUGGAGGGAGAACUGGUGGAAAUGGAGCGAAAGCAACAGCAGCUGGUGGAGGAGAAGAACAUCCUCGCCGAGCAGCUUCAAGCAGAGACGGAGCUGUUUGCCGAAGCCGAGGAGAUGCGUGCCCGUCUGGCCAUCAAAAAGCAGGAGUUGGAGGAGAUUCUGAGAGAUCUGGAGAUCCGCAUGGAGGAAGAGGAGGAGAGGAACCAGGUGCUGCAGAAUGAGAAGAAGAAGAUGCAGGCGCAUGUUCAGGACCUGGAGGAGCAGCUUGACGAGGAAGAAGCCGCCCGGCAGAAGCUGCAGUUGGAGAAGGUGACGGCAGAAGCCAAGAUCAAGAAGAUGGAGGAAGAUAUCCUGGUGCUCGAGGACCAGAAUUCCAAGUUCCUGAAGGAGAAGAAGCUACUGGAGGAACGGAUUGCAGAGUCGACCUCUCAGCUGGCCGAGGAAGAAGAGAAAGCCAAAAAUCUGGCCAAGCUGAAGAACAAGCAAGAGAUGAUGAUCACAGACCUUGAAGAGAGGCUAAAGAAGGAGGAGAAGACGAGGCAGGAGCUGGAGAAAGCAAAAAGGAAGCUGGACGGGGAGACCACAGACCUCCAGGACCAAAUCGCUGAGCUGCAGGCUCAAAUUGAGGAGCUCAAGCUACAACUCGCCAAGAAAGAGGAGGAGCUACAGGCUGCAUUGGCCAGGGGAGACGAGGAGGUUCUGCAGAAGAACAACACCCUGAAGGUGGUGCGGGAGCUGCAGGCACAGAUCGCUGAGCUGCAAGAAGACCUUGAGUCAGAAAAGGCGUCCCGCAACAAAGCUGAGAAGCAAAAGAGGGACCUGAGUGAGGAGCUGGAGGCCCUAAAGACUGAGCUAGAGGAUACUCUGGAUACCACCGCAGCCCAACAAGAACUGAGGACGAAAAGGGAGCAGGAGGUGGCAGAACUGAAGAAGAGCAUUGAAGAGGAGACCCGAAACCAUGAAGCUCAGAUCCAGGAGAUGAGGCAGCGACAGGCAACAGCCCUCGAGGAGCUCUCUGAGCAGCUGGAACAGGCCAAGAGGUUCAAGGGAAACCUAGAGAAGAACAAGCAGAGCCUGGAGUCAGACAAUAAGGAGCUGGCCACUGAGGUGAAGUCUCUGCAACAGAUGAAGGCAGAGUCUGAGUAUAAGCGGAAGAAGCUGGAAGGUCAAGUGCAGGAGCUACACACCAAGGUGUUGGAAGGAGACCGCCUGCGGGCCGACAUGGUGGAGAAGAGCAGCAAGCUGCAGAACGAACUGGAAAAUGUUUCCUCUCUGCUAGAAGAAGCUGAAAAGAAAGGGAUCAAGCUGGCAAAGGAUGCAGCGAGCCUGGAGUCCCAGCUACAGGACACACAGGAACUGCUCCAAGAGGAAACCCGGCAGAAGUUAAACCUAAGCAGCCGCAUCCGACAACUGGAGGAGGAAAAGAACAACCUGCAGGAGCAGCAGGAAGAGGAAGAGGAGGCUCGGAAAGCCCUGGAAAAGCAGAUCCUCAGUCUGCAGUCUCAGCUGGUAGAGGCCAAGAAGAAAGUGGAUGAUGAUGUGGGCACCAUCGAGGGCCUGGAGGAAGUGAAGAAGAAGCUCCUAAAGGACAUGGAGAGUCUGGGACAAAGACUGGAAGAGAAGGGCAUUGCCCACGAGAAACUAGAGAAAACCAAAAACCGGCUCCAGCAGGAACUAGAUGAUCUGAUGGUGGAUCUGGAUCACCAGAGGCAGAUUGUGUCCAACCUGGAGAAGAAGCAGAAGAAGUUUGAUCAGCUCCUGGCAGAGGAGAAGAACAUCUCUGCCCGCAACGCAGAGGAGCGAGACCGAGCCGAGGCUGAUGCCCGUGAGAAGGAAACCAAGGCCCUGUCCUUGGCCCGAGCCUUGGAUGAAGCUCUGGAAGGUCGGGAUGAGUUUGAAAGGCUGAACAAACAGCUGCGGGCAGAGAUGGAAGAUCUCAUGAGCUCCAAAGAUGAUGUGGGGAAGAACGUUCAUGAGCUGGAGAAGUCAAAGCGGGCACUUGAGCAGCAGGUGGAGGAGAUGCGCACUCAGCUGGAGGAGCUGGAGGAUGAACUGCAGGGCACGGAGGAUGCCAAGCUGCGCCUGGAAGUGAACAUGCAGGCCAUGAAGGCUCAGUUUGAACGGGACCUGCAGACCCGGGAUGAGCAGAACGAAGAAAAGAAACGGGCGCUGGUGAAACAGGUGCGGGAGCUGGAAGCUGAGCUGGAGGAUGAGCGCAAGCAGAGAGCUAUGGCCGUGGCCAUCAAGAAGAAGUUGGAGAUGGAUAUGAAGGACUUGGAGUCCCAAAUCGAAGCUGCAAAUAAAGGCAGGGAAGAUGCCAUCAAACAGCUGCGCAAGCUUCAGGCCCAGAUGAAGGAUUACCAGCGGGAGCUGGAGGAGGCACGGGCAUCACGAGACGACAUCUUUGCUCAGUCCAAGGAGAACGAGAAGAAGCUGAAGAGUUUGGAGGCGGAAAUUCUUCAGUUGCAGGAGGAACUGGCAUCUUCAGAGCGCUCACGGCGACAUGCAGAGCAGGAACGGGACGAGCUUGCUGAUGAGAUUUCCAACAGCACAUCUGGAAAGUCCGCCCUCCUGGACGAGAAGAGACGCCUGGAAGCGAGGAUCGCCCAGUUAGAGGAGGAGCUGGAGGAAGAGCAAAGCAACAUGGAGCUGCUGAACGAUCGGUUCCGUAAAACUACCCUGCAGGUGGACACCCUGAAUUCUGAGUUGGCUGGAGAGCGCAGUUCAGCCCAAAAAAGCGAGAACGCUCGGCAGCAGCUGGAGCGGCAGAACAAGGAACUGAAGGCCAAACUACAGGAACUGGAGGGUUCCGUAAAGUCCAAAUUUAAAGCCACUAUUGCCACUCUGGAGUCUAAGAUUGCACAACUGGAAGAGCAGCUGGAGCAGGAGGCCAAGGAGCGAGCUGCCUCUAACAAACUGGUGCGCAGGACUGAGAAGAAGCUGAAGGAGGUGUUCAUGCAGGUGGAGGAUGAGCGCAGGCACGCCGACCAGUACAAAGAGCAGAUGGAGAAGGCCAAUACCCGCAUGAAACAGCUGAAGAGGCAACUGGAGGAGGCGGAAGAGGAAGCCACUCGCGCCAACGCAUCGCGGCGCAAACUCCAGCGGGAACUCGACGAUGCAACCGAGGCCAAUGAGGUGUUGAGCCGGGAAGUGUCCACCCUGAAGAACAGACUGAGAAGGGGCGGGCCCGUGUCCUUCUCUUCCUCCUCCAGCCGCUCGGGCAGGCGCCAGCUGCAGAUCGAGGGGGCAUCCCUGGAUAUCUCCGACGAUGAAAUAGAAACGAAAAACGCUGAGGUCAACGAAGUCCCCACCCCAACGGAGUGAGCCGCUCCCUCGCCAGGUUCCCGGGGGCCCCCACACCUCUCAGCCCGGAGCAUUGGCGCAGCCGCACCCUCAUUGGCAAAAAGUGCUUUUGUCUUUUUUUUUAUUUUAUUUUAUUAAUUCCAAAAUACAGAUCCAUUGAACUUGUUCUGCCGAAUUCCCCCCCUCCCCCCCAAAAAAAGGCCCAGAUCUGCACCCAGGGGGCUACACUCCCAGCCUUUCAGAUCUCCAAUCAGACUUCUCCUUUCUCUCCAUGGCACCAUGUGAAGUAUCUGAACACUACGUCUGUGGCCCCGUCCCACGUGGGGUGAGGGUGGCAGUGGGGGGCAUUUGCUUCAUUUCUCACCCCUUUGCUUCUCGCAGCUGCUACAUUCCCCCCCUCCCACCCUGGUUCUGUCGACAGCAGAAGAACUCAACUGUGAAUCCGUUACUGUCCUUUCCUUGCGCCCCCCCCCCCCCCCAAUCCCUCAGUCUCUGCAAGGGUUCAAGGGGCCCACUUGGUUCCACAAACAGAAUUUCUGCUCCUCUGUCAGACUGGCUAUGGAAAUGUCAAUCACUUCUAGUCCCCGCCCAUAUCAUGCUCUUUCAGGCUGGGAUAGGCCACUCACUCCCCGGCUUCUAUUGGGUGUGGCAUUUGGUGGGCGUGGUAUUCGCAGGGUAUGGGGGCUAUAACACAUUUGAAACCCCCAAUCCCUAACUGCGUACCCUUUUACAAUGCUUAAAGUCAUACAUAAGACAAACUGUGCCUUAGACACUUAAAAUCUGAGAAAAAUAUAGUUAAAAAACGAAAUAAUGACAUAUCUACCUGCCACCGACCAAUCAGAUGUGAUCGUUCCUCGCGCUUUAUGUUACGAUAUGAAGAGAUCAGUCAGUAUUACCCAGAAGCCUCAGUCAUGUGCUGGACAUAUCACUUUAUUUGUAUUUUGUUUUUUUAGUUGUUGAGCUUAAAUCUUUUAUUGAGCGUUUCUGGCCCGAGGGUCCAGCGCGGAUCUGUGCGCAUUCGUCUCUAUUCAUUAUCAUUAUAUAUAUUAUUUUUUUUAACACAUAACAGCUGCAAGCUCCUCCCUCUCUGCUAAACCCGCCUCACCCCUGCCCCGCCCCUCUGUAUAGCCCAUAUUUCUAGACAACGAAUUUUGUAAGACAAUAAACUUAUUCAUUAUAGAA